CGCCUUUCAAGACGUGCUGAUGAUGAUCGGUUUCCCAGACGGGGUGAUGACUCAAGACCUGGUCCUUGGAGACCAUUAGUCAAGCCAGGUGGAUGGAGAGAGAAAGAAAAAGCCAGAGAGGAGAGCUGGGGUCCACCUCGAGAAUCAAGGCCAUCAGAAGAACGUGAAUGGGACAGAGAAAAAGAAAGGGACAGAGAUAAUCAAGAUCGGGAGGAGAAUGACAAGGACCCUGAGAGAGAAAGGGACAGAGAGAGAGAUGUGGAUCGAGAGGAUCGCUUCAGAAGACCUAGGGAUGAAGGUGGCUGGAGAAGAGGACCAGCUGAGGAAUCUUCAAGCUGGAGAGACUCAAGUCGCCGGGACGAUAGGGAUAGGGAUGACCGUCGCCGUGAGAGGGAUGACCGGCGUGAUCUAAGAGAAAGACGAGAUCUAAGAGACGACAGGGACCGAAGAGGACCUCCACUCAGAUCAGAACGUGAAGAAGUAAGUUCUUGGAGACGUGCUGAUGACAGGAAAGAUGACCGGGUGGAAGAGCGGGACCCUCCUCGUCGAGUUCCUCCCCCAGCUCUUUCAAGAGACCGAGAAAGAGACCGAGACCGAGAAAGAGAAGGUGAAAAAGAGAAGGCCUCAUGGAGAGCUGAGAAAGAUAGGGAAUCUCUCCGUCGUACUAAAAAUGAGACUGAUGAAGAUGGAUGGACCACAGUACGACGUUAAGUCUCAAGAUAAUGGAUUUAAACUGGUGUCUUAAAUAGGUUUGAUCACAUUCAAGGAUUAUUAUACUUGUGCUUCAACCAAUCUAAAUUGGAUUCUUUAAUGUUGUUUCACCAUAACACAAAAAGCAUGAACUUGUAUUAAUCCUAUAUAAUAGAUUGAUCAUGCACCAUAUCCACAGGAGGUUGGAAAAACCAUGCCAUUUUCUGGAAUUUAAGGGUGUUGCAUUAUUUCAUCAAUCAUUUGUUGACAAAAAAGAAAAACUAAAAAAUAAAUUUAAAAUGUGACCCUUCAGGUAUUGAGUAACACCUUUAUCUUGGUAUAGAACUGAUACUUUUUUUUUGAUUUUGAAAUAUCUGAUAAUAAUUUGGAAUGAAGUAAGGUUCUGUUAAAAUAUAUUUGAAGACCCUUUAAAGCAGUGAAUCUGAAACAAUUUUCACACCCUUAAGUGGUUGAUACGUACCUAUUUUAGGUAUUUUGAGGUAUUUACCAUAAACUAAAUUUAGAAAUUUUUUAGAUUCACUUGAAGUAAACAUUACAAACAUUGGAUACGGUGGGGUUUUCUUUAGAUUUUACUUGAGAGAAGGUGAGUACAAAGCAAUUUGCAGUUGUUGUAAUGACAAGAUUACUGCGCAAGUGUGAAUCCAAACAGUAUAGCUUUUAAAUUUUAAAGCAUUUGGUAAAUUAUCGCUGAGUUUUUUUCUGUUGCCAAUAGCAAACUGCUUUUCCAUUAAUGGAGAAUUCAUGCCUUUCAAGCAUUUUAAAUAUGACAAUAUUUAUAAAUGUAUGGUUUGGAGGAAUCGUUUAAAUUCUCUUUCCUAAUUUUCUUUCUUUUGAAGAUAGAUUCUUUCAACAAGUAAUUUGUAGUAAUGACUGUGUUGACUUCAAUUUUGGAGCGCAGUAGCUAUGUUAAAGAUGAACUAUUUGGUCUCAUUGAAGCCAACACAGAACUUGCUGCUGUGUUUUUUCUUCAGUGAUAAAUAAAAUACUUAC
rnacentral:lncRNA from 1 species